rnacentral:rRNA from 1 species
CCCUAAAUCUUGGUACUUACCCCACUAAAGUACCCGCCCGAGAACUACGAGCACAAACGCUUAAAACUCUAAGGACUUGGCGGUGCCCCAAACCCACCUAGAGGAGCCUGUUCUGUAAUCGAUACCCCACGAUACACCCAACCGCCCCUUGCCAAAGCAGCCUACAUACCGCCGUCGCCAGCUCACCUCCUAUGAGAGCCCAACAGUGAGCACAACAGCCACCCCGCUAGCAAGACAGGUCAAGGUAUAGCCCAUGGGUCGGAAGAAAUGGGCUACAUUUUCUAAAAUAGAAAACUUACGGAAGGGGGUGUGAAGCCACCCCUAGAAGGCGGAUUUAGCAGUAAAGAGGGCCAAUAAAGCCCUC